CUCAAUAAAAUAGUAAAAGUGGCUCGUAAAUCUUUCGUCAGUGAGAGUGAAACGGCUCGACUGGACACGGGGACACGGGACACCAAUUGAACACUAAAUUGCGGUCAGAAAGGGAGAAGAAAUCUAUAAACUGAG
ensembl:ncRNA Y106G6C.1 ncRNA